rnacentral:misc_RNA from 1 species
UCUCCGUAGGUGAACCUGCGGAGGGAUCAUUACCGAGAGAGGGCGCCCCGCGCCCGACCUCCCAACCCUUUGUCGACCACACCGCGUUGCCUCGGGGCGGCCCCGCCGGGAGCCCCAGAGGACCUCAACCAAAACUCUGCGUCCCUGCGUCGGAGUCUUAUAGAUGAAUCAAUCAAAACUUUCAACAACGGAUCUCUUGGUUCUG